GAUGAACGCUGGCGGCGUGCCUAAUACAUGCAAGUCGAGCGAACAGAUGAGGAGCUUGCUCCUCUGACGUUAGCGGCGGACGGGUGAGUAACACGUGGAUAACCUACCUAUAAGAUUGGGAUAACUUCGGGAAACCGGAGCUAAUACCGGAUAAUAUAUUGAACCGCAUGGUUCAAUAGUGAAAGACGGUUUUGCUGUCACUUAUAGAUGGAUCCGCGCCGCAUUAGCUAGUUGGUAAGGUAACGGCUUACCAAGGCAACGAUGCGUAGCCGACCUGAGAGGGUGAUCGGCCACACUGGAACUGAGACACGGUCCAGACUCCUACGGGAGGCAGCAGUAGGGAAUCUUCCGCAAUGGGCAAAAGCCUGACGGAGCAACGCCGCGUGAGUGAUGAAGGUCUUCGGAUCGUAAAACUCUGUUAUUAGGGAAGAACAAAUGUGUAAGUAACUAUGCACGUCUUGACGGUACCUAAUCAGAAAGCCACGGCUAACUACGUG
rnacentral:rRNA from 1 species